UUAAGCCAUGCUGUCUCAGUAUAAGCUUCUAUACGGCGAAACUGCGAAUGGCUCAUUAAAACAGUUAUAGUUUAUUUGGUGGUCAGCAAUUACAUGGAUAACCGUGGUAAUUCUAGAGCUAAUACAUGCGUCCAAACCCGACUUCGUGGAAGGGUUGUGUUUAUUAGAUACAGAACCAACCCAGGCUCCGCCUGGCCUUGAGGUGAUUCAUAAUAACCGAACGAAUCGCAUGGCUAUGCCGGCGAUAGACCAUUCAAGUUUCUGACCUAUCAGCUAUCGUCGGUAGGGUAUUGGCCUACCGUGGCAAUGACGGGUAACGGAGAAUUAGGGUUCGAUUCCGGAGAGGGAGCCUGAGAAACGGCUACCACAUCUAAGGAAGGCAGCAGGCGCGCAAAUUACCCAAUCCUGACGCAGGGAGGUAGUGACAAGAAAUAACAAUACAGGGCAUACAUGUCUUGUAAUUGGAAUGAGUAAACUUUAAAUCACUUUACGAGUAUCAAUUGGAGGG
rnacentral:rRNA from 1 species